UACGAAGGGGGGCUAGCGUUGCUCGGAAUCACUGGGCGUAAAGCGCACGUAGGCGGAUUGUUAAGUCAGGGGUGAAAUCCCUGGAGCUCAACUCCAGAACUGCCUUUGAUACUGGCGAUCUCGAGUCCGGGAGAGGUGAGUGGAACUGCGAGUGUAGAGGUGAAAUUCGUAGAUAUUCGCAAGAACACCAGUGGCGAAGGCGGCUCACUGGCCCGGUACUGACGCUGAGGUG
rnacentral:rRNA from 1 species